AACACCAGAAACUGGAGACUCAACAGAUAUAGGCAUUUCAGAAUCUCCAGGAACUGGAGAUGGAGCUGGAGCAACAAAAGGCGAGCCACUAGACUU
rnacentral:sRNA from 1 species